rnacentral:rRNA from 1 species
UACGUAGGGGGCGAGCGUUGUCCGGAUUUAUUGGGCGUAAAGCGCUCGCAGGUGGUCCGAUGCGUCGUGCGUGAAAGACCCCGGCUCAACUGGGGGGCGUCGUGCGAUACGGUCGGACUGGAGGCCAGUAGGGGGAUGCGGAAUUCCGGGUGUAGUGGUGGAAUGCGUAGAGAUCCGGAGGAACACCAGCGGCGAAGGCGGCAUCCUGGACCGGUAUUGACGCUGAGGCGCGAAAGCCAGGGGAGCAAACGGG